GGCCUCGAGACGGGGAUAACCCCGGGAAACUGGGAAUAAUACCCGAUAGACGAGAGAUGAUGGAAGGCUCACACGUUCAAAUNCUGCGAGGCUCGAGGAUGGGUCUGCGGCCUAUCAGGUAGUAGGGGGUUUCACGGACCCCCUAGCCAGAGACGGGUACGGGCUUUGGGAGAAGUCGCCCGGAGAUGGAUUCUGAGACACGAAUCCAGGACCUACGGGUCGCAGCAGGCGCGAAACCUCCACAAUGUGGGAAACCACGAUGGGGGAACUCCAAGUGCCUACACUAAGUGUGAGGAUGUUAUCGAGCCUAAAAAGCUCGAGAAGUAAGGGCCGGGUAAGACGGGUGCCAGCCGCCGCGGUAAUACCCGCGGCCCGAGUGGUGCUCAUUAUUAUUGAGCCUAAAGCGUCCGUAGCUGGNCAGGCAAAUCUCCGGGUAAAUCGGGCGGGCCCAACCGUCCGAAUUCCGGAGACACUGCUUGGCUUGAGAUCGGGAAGAGGGAGAAGGUACUCCCUGGGUAGGAGGUAAAAUCCUG
rnacentral:rRNA from 1 species